rnacentral:lncRNA from 1 species
AAGAAAGACAGAGGUCCCCUGUGUGACCCUAAGAUAUCCGAGUCCAGGGAACUACUCAGAAUUUCAUUGACACCUACCCCUCUGUUCUUCUUCCAUUGAGGAAGUCAAAAGAUCUCCAGUUCCAUUUGUGAGACACCACCAGGCCCUGGUGCUGAAAAACUCUGAGAAGUGCUGGUAGUAGAGAUGAAGGGAACCAUUACAAGACAAUAUGGAAAAGUAAACUCCAUUCUGGAAAAUGUUGGGAAGUGAGAGGGAAAUUGAAGGCUGAGAAUCUGAUAUCAAAACACCAAGAACCUGGAGUAGUACAAGGCUGUCAGAUCUUCACUGAGAGUCGGAUGGAGGAGGCUGGGCACUGAGAGUCAGAUGGAGGAAGCUUUGGCACUGCUAAAGUGAAGGAGAGAAUGGAUGUGGUGAGAUAAUACAAAUGGAUGGAUAGCAUGAUUCUUCAGUCCUCAUGUGUAAAUAAAUUCUAGUAUAGCUGCCACUGUUGUGCAGAUUGGGACUGGGCACGAUCAGCGUUAUGAUGGGAGUAAACACAAAAAAGGUGAAACCCCUUCCCGUGCUCUGUUCUUCCAUCUCCAGCCCCAAAGGGUCAUGGAGUCUGCCUCCGUCCAGCUGAAUGGCAGCAUCCUUCCAUGGGUAAGGGCUUCCUGGAACAUUUGCUGACCCUCUGGGACAUGUCUGACC